rnacentral:rRNA from 1 species
UGGAGUAUGUGGUUAAUUCGAUGCAACGCGAAAACCUUACCUGCCCUUGACAUCCUCGGAACUUGUCAGAGAUGACUUGGUGCCUUCGGGAACCGAGAGACAGGUGCUGCAUGGCUGUCGUCAGCUCGUGUCGUGAGAUGUUGGGUUAAGUCCCGCAACGAGCGCAACCCUUGUCAUUAGUUGCUACAUUUAGUUGGGCACUCUAAUGAGACUGCCGGUGACAAGCCGGAGGAAGGUGGGGAUGACGUCAAGUCCUCAUGGCCCUUAUAGGUGGGGCUACACACGUCAUACAAUGGCUGGUACAGAGGGUUGCCAACCCGCGAGGGGGAGCUAAUCCCAUAAAACCAGUCGUAGUCCGGAUCGCAGUCUGCAACUCGACUGCGUGAAGUCGGAAUCGCUAGUAAUCGCGGAUCAGAAUGUCGCGGUGAAUACGUUCCCGGGUCUU